UACGUAGGGACCGAGCGUUGUCCGGAUUCAUUGGGCGUAAAGAGCUCGUAGGCGGCUAUUCAAGUCGAACGUGAAAUCUCGGAGCUCAACUCCGAAACUGCGUUCGAUACUGGGUAGCUAGAGUCUGGUAGGGUGAUCUGGAAUUCCUGGUGUAGCGGUGGAAUGCGUAGAUAUCGGAAGGAACAUCAGUGGCGAAAGCGACUUCCUGGACCAAUACUGACGCUCAUGUGCGAAAGCGUGGGGAGCAAACAGG
rnacentral:rRNA from 1 species